AGCCAGCAUGGUAUAGUGGUUUGUAUGUUUGACUAUGGCUCAGGAGACCAGGGUUCAAAUCCCAGCUCGGCUA